rnacentral:rRNA from 1 species
GACGAACGCUGGCGGCGUGCUUAACACAUGCAAGUCGAACGGUAAGGCCCUUCGGGGUACACGAGUGGCGAACGGGUGAGUAACACGCGGGUCCUCUGCCCUGCACUUCGGGAUAAGCCUGGGAAACUGGGGCUAAUACCGGCUAGGACCACUUCCUGCAUGGGUGGUGGUGGAAAGCUUUUGCGGUGUGGGAUGGGCCCGCGGCCUAUCCGCUUGUUGGUGGGGUGAUGGCCUACCAAGGCGACGACGGGUAGCCGGCCGGAGAGGGUGACCGGCCACACUGGGACUGAGAUACGGCCCAGACUCCUACGGGAGGCAGCAGUGGGGAAUAUUGCACAAUGGGCGCAAGCCUGAUGCAGCGACGCCGCGUGAGGGAUGACGGCCUUCGGGUUGUAAACCUCUUUCAGCACCGACGAAGCGCAAGUGACGGUAGGUGCAGAAGAAGGACCGGCCAACUACGUGCCAGCCGCCGCGGUAA